rnacentral:rRNA from 1 species
UGGGGAAUUUUGGACAAUGGGGGCAACCCUGAUCCAGCCAUGCCGCGUGUGUGAAGAAGGCCUUCGGGUUGUAAAGCACUUUUGGCGGGAACGAAACGGUCUGUGCUAAUACCACGGACUAAUGACGGUACCCGCAGAAUAAGCACCGGCUAACUACGUGCCAGCAGCCGCGGUAAUACGUAGGGUGCAAGCGUUAAUCGGAAUUACUGGGCGUAAAGCGUUCGCAGGCGGUUUCGCAAGUCAGAUGUGAAAUCCCCGGGCUCAACCUAGGAACUGCAUUUGAAACUACGAGGCUUGAGUGUAGCAGAGGGGGGUGGAAUUCCACGUGUAGCAGUGAGAUGCGUAGAGAUGUGGAGGAACACCGAUGGCGAAGGCAGCCCCCUGGGCUAACACUGACGCUCAUGCACGAAAGCGUGGGGAGCAAACA